rnacentral:rRNA from 1 species
UGCUGCAUGGCUGUCGUCAGCUCGGUGUCGUGAGAUGUUGGGUUAAGGUCCCGCAACGAGCGCAACCCUUGCCUUUAGUUGCCAGCAGUUCGGCUGGGCACUCUAAAGGGACUGCCGGUGUUAAACCGGAGGAAGGUGGGGAUGACGUCAAGUCCUCAUGGCCUUUAUGACCAGGGCUACACACGUACUACAAUGGCCGAUACAAAGGGCAGCGACACUGCGAGGUGAAGCCAAUCCCGUAAAAUCGGUCUCAGUCCGGAUUGGAGUCUGCAACUCGACUCCAUGAAGUUGGAAUCGCUAGUAAUCGUGGAUCAGCAUGCCACGGUGAAUACGUUCCCGGGCCUU